rnacentral:rRNA from 1 species
UACAGAGGUCCCGAGCGUUGUUCGGAUUCAUUGGGCGUAAAGGGUGCGUAGGCGGCGGGGCAAGUCUGAUGUGAAAUCCCGGGGCUCAACCCCGGAACUGCAUUGGAUACUGCCUUGCUAGAGUACUGGAGAGGGAGCUGGAAUUUACGGUGUAGCAGUGAAAUGCGUAGAGAUCGUAAGGAAGGCCAGUGGCGAAGGCGAGUUCCUGGACAGUUACUGACGCUGAGGCACGAAGGCCAGGGGAGCAAACGGG